UAGAGCAGUUUGGUAGCUCAUAAGGCUCAGAACCUUGGGGUUGCGGGUUCGAUUCCC
rnacentral:tRNA from 1 species